GGGCGUAUGGUCUAGUGGUCAAGACAUCUCAGUUGCAAAAAGUGUUUAUUGCCUUACAGCUGUUAGAAUGUACUACAGGUGCAAGAGUUCCAAUGAUACCAGUAUGCUCCAUGAGAACGUCCCAGGUUCGAAUCCUGGUACGUCCA